rnacentral:tRNA from 1 species
UUAGUUAAAACCAAAAAAGAGGUUCCCUAUUGUUAAUAGUGCUAUUGAUUAAUUUCUAACUAAA